rnacentral:sRNA from 1 species
UUGCAGCAGCUUCGCCACCCCCACGGCC